AAUGCUUAGUACAGUACUUUAAACCCAUUAAGCACUAAAAAAAUAUGAAUAAGUGAAUGAAGCCUUAUUCCUUCUUGGCAGCACCUAAAACGCAGUAAGGGAAAGCCAGGAGUGGAAAUGCCCAGUCGACUACUUUGGUGGGUAGGCAAGGUCAGGAACCCGGAUAGCUUUGGAGGUCCCGGUUUUUGAGGCUGGAGGACUCCCAGAGUUUUUGCCCGACCCUCCUUGAAUUUCCCCAGGCUUCCUCCUCCUCCUCCUUCACGUGGUGGGAGCCAGCUGCAACUUUGCCCCUCCCCUCCACCCAACUCACUGACUUAAGGGCCACAUUUUCUUCCUACCUCACCAGAGGAGGGGAAAAAAGUUUCUUUUUUCAGUCUUCAGAACUGAUAGGAUUUUGAGAAGCAAAGUGGACUAGUGGAAAGAGCGUGGGCCUGGAUUCUCCUCCUAAUUUUGCCACUUUAAUGCUGCUUGACCUUGGGAAGCACUUGACAUUGAUAUUCAAAUGCCAGGACGCUCCUUUGGAUCAUGGCAAUUUGCAGAGACUUUGGUGAGAUCUACAGAUGAAGUAACUGAGGCACAGAGGAGUGAGGUGAC